AACAAUUUUAUUUGGCAAUCUAUUUGAUUUGUAACUGUUUUAGAGGUACUGACAAAUUAUUUUGUUCUUAUAUUUUGGACAUCAGACCAUCAAGUACUAUAUGUUAAACUGAGACUUGUUAAAAUAAACACAGUAGUAGUGGUCGUUCUAUAUGUACUAUACUGUUUCAGAGGACAACAUAUGAACAUACAUUCCUGCAUUACGUAGUUUUAACCCAGUCUAGUCAGAAUAAAUCAUGCAGCCAGUGUCUUCCACUACACAUGUUUUAUACAUGUGUGUUUUCACAUGCAUCUCACUACCUCAGCCUGUAUGAGCCGCGUCAUUGUCUCGUCAGUCCAGCAGAGUAAUGAGCUGUAAUGUGCCUCUCGAGCUUCCUAUCCGUUUUUUUCUUUUUCCCCUCCCUUGGUUGACAUCCCAGGGGAAGAGCGGUCAGAGCAGAUCGUAUCUCUGCGGUCGACUUUAUUAGAAAAUGAUUUUACAGACAGAAUAGAGCUAACUUCAGCCGUCAGAGA